rnacentral:lncRNA from 1 species
GUCAACUGUGCAGUGAGGUAAGAUUCGCUCAAGCAGAUGCUGAUCAACAUAACCAACAUUUCCAAGGUACCUUACAUUAUCUAUCACUUUCUGAACGCAAAGAUCAACCAGAGUUGGUAUCUUUGGUGCACAAAAUUCAUCUCUUCUCAUCAUAAUGUCACUGCUCAUCAAGAACAACAAUAGAAAUCGAUUCAAAAAUACUAACCAACCAUCAAAUUAAUAAUCAACUAAAUCUAGAUUUGAUAAUUAAAUAAUAAACUAAAUCUUGAUUUGAUAAUUAAAUGUAGAUUAGAUUCAAUGAUAGAUUUAAUUGAUUGAUUGUUGCAAUUUCAAUAUGAAUCUUUAAAUUAUUUAAUUCAAAACUAAUUUGUUAGAAAAAUAUAAUUCGAUCUCUAGUCUUCAAAACUUUCUUGUGCCGCACCUUGUCUGGAAACAAAUAGAAACAAAUCGCAAAAGUUCAAUUUCAGUCAACUUUUUAAACUGAACUCAAGGCUUUAAAUGUUUUAGAAGCCAAACUUUCAUUUUGUUCUACACAAACAGAUUUUUGCAUUCCUUUCCUCGCAUAUAUAGGAGGUCCAUGUUACCAUCUUAGUAAACAGCUAUAAAUAGGCACUAUUUCAAAUCUAAAUAAUACACAAUACAUUCACUUUGAUAUUUUACAAAGUUUUUUUAUGGGCACACCUGACUUGUCCUAGGAUUAUUGCAUUAAACAAUAUGGACAAAUAGAAAUCCCAACCAAUUUACUUUUAAAGAAAAUAUUAGUUUUAGUGAACUUAAACAUUAUAAGGAAUGAUGCUUACACUGACCUGCAUAUAUCCAAGAUUUUCCUCCAACCAAUAUUCCUUUGUUUCUGGAGUUGGAUCUCCUCCUUCAACUGGAAAAAACCAACAACAGAAAGACCUGAUUGGAAUAAGAAGAAGAGAAAUGAAAUUGAAUUGAAGAAAAAUAGAAACGUGGAAUUGAAUCGGAAAUAAAGGGAGAGAGUGAAUACCUGAUUGAGCAGUGAUUUGAGGUUGGAAGAAGAGAGGAAUCUCAACAUGAUUAGGGUUUUCGAUCUCAGGAAACAUCGGUUCGAUGAGGUUGACCAAAAAUGGCUUGCGGUGAAGGUGCAAGGGCUUAGUUAAACGGAGAAACAAAUUUCGAGAUUUGGAAUGACCAAGAAGAAAAUUAUUUUUGGGAACAAAAAAUAUAAUUAUUUAAUUUAUUUGUCAGAAAAAUAUUCUUUAAUUAAUUUCUACAACUAAUCCUAAUUCAUUUAUUUCACAUCUAAUUUUUAUAAGAAAAGAAAAACAAAAUAUAUCUUAAAAUUUGUUAAUUUAAUGAUUGUUUUUAAAAUUUUAACUUUUCAAAGUAAUUAUUUAUUAAAAAUAAAUCAUUCAAUUAAAAAAUUAUACCAAAUGAGUUUCUUCUCUUCUACAACUAAAAACUCAUAAAUUAUCGAUUUUAUAAGUUAAUACAACAAAUAAUUCUAAUACAUACUGGUAUUUGAAUAGAUUAAAAAGUUGAAUUUCACUAAACAAUUAUAAUUAUUUUAUGAUAAAUUUUUUUAUCAUAAUAAAUCAAUUUCUUUGUAAGGUUGGUCAUAAAACACGUUCUCGGACUUCAUUAAUCACUUUUUUUUUUCAAAAUCAAUGACUUCGUUUUUUUAUGAUUAAAUAUGGAUUAGAUUAAAUAAAUUUUUUCCUUUCAAGAUUGACAUAUUGAUGCUAAAGAAACUAUAAAUAUGUGGUAAUAUUGGUUUUCUGAUUGAUUGAUUUGAAAUAAAGAAAUGUCGGGCGCCUUUUAGGGGUACAAAAUAUGCAGUUGGUUAAAAAAAGCUUCGUCCUAGACGGUUUCGGUGUCGUGCGUCUAAGGUACCUGGGGGAAAAGUUUGUGUUAACUGUCCUGUGACAAGGAAGGGCUUAUUGGAAAACUCUUAGAAGAAGGUAAUGACUGGUUGAUAUGAUUCCACUAGCCAAAUAGAGAUGAUUCUUUGAAAUUUUAUGGAAUCAACUUGAGUUAGAGAUAGCUUAGGCACUUUUAAUAGAAUUGGAUCAAGGUUCUAUGUUUCAAGAACUCACCAAAACUUGCACCAAACACCAAACUCAUAUGGAAGAUCCAUCUAUUGCCAAUUGAACCGAUUAAAUUGUGUAUAAAAGCAAGAGGACCGAAGAGAAAGCUAUAAUACUGAAAUUGAACCGAACAAAAUGCAAGAAAUGAAGAAGAAACAACUGGAAACAGCCAAGGAGAAAAAUGAACCGAAGCAAACUCAAGAACAAACUAAAAUACCGAAUCAAAAUGCUCGAAAAGUAAACUAAGACAUGAUUUAGAAUCAAAUGAGCUAGGAGAUGAAAGAAAGAAGAACUUAUGGAGAUGGAGGACUUGGUUUGAUGGUCACGCCACUUGGAUGGUGAAGGCUCCAAGAUAAGUGAGCUAGUGCUGCCACUUGAGAGAACCAAUUGCACUCAAGAUAAGACAAGGUGAAGGAGAAGACAAGUUCUCACAAUUCUCUCUCAAAUUGAGUAGAGUUUCUUUAUUAUCAAUUUCAAUUCUGAAUUUUACAAGAGCCCACACAUCUAUUUAUAGUGUGAGGGUGCUGGAAAAUAGGUGGGAAAUUUCAAAUAAAACUCAUUUGAAAUUCCCACCAAAAACAAGUCACAUGGGAGGUGUGACCUUUUUCUACUAUGACACCUCCUAAAAACUACACCUACACCUACUCUCCUAAGUCACAUGGAUAAUGUGACUUUAUUUUACAUUUUCACACUUCUUUAUUAAAUAUCCACACCUCCUACAACUAUACAAGAGUAAUUCAAAUGAUACUCUUUUAUUUAAUGCUUGGCCUUGCCCCUCAUGGGAUGGACUUGGGCUUUUUGGGCUUUGGCCUUCUUGGGCUUGGGCUUGGGCUUUGGGCUUGGGCCUCAUCUUUAUUUUAUGUCUUCUUUUAAUUUUGAGAAGACUAGAAGGAAGAACUUCAAAUGUGAGGGUGAAUGUCCUCUUCCUCCAUUAAUAAAAGCCUCCUUUAUUUGAUUCUCAUCACUGGUUCACUUGUCUGUUCGGUUCGAUUGUGCCUUGGGACGAUUCCUUUACAGGGAAUGAGAGGUAUGCAUGGGUAAGGUGUAGAGGUAUCCCUUUACAUCUAUGGAGUAGGCACUGUUUUGAACGUGCUGGGGCACUAGUCGGGAAGGUGGUAGAGGUGGACCAGGCGACUAUGGCUAGGGAAGUACUGGAGUACGUUCGAUUACGAAUCAGUAUUCUGGUAGGUAUUUCGCCUUGCGAGAAGAAGGAGGUGAGUAUUAAUGGCUUCUCUUGUUGGUUUUCUUUUGAAGAAUAGAUGAGUAUGCCGGAUCUUAAGCUAAGAAGCUUCUUCAGUAAGUGGGGAGACGAGUCAGUAUCAGAGUCUAUCGCCAGCUUGAAAGAUGUUGGUGGAAGGUAGCGUUUGGCCUCGGUGGGUUCUUACUUCGAUGAAGAAUACAGAAGAAGGAAAGGCGAAGAGAUGACGGUUCAGUGUAAGGCGGCACAGGUAGAACCUAUCCUUGGGGUGGCCCAACAAAACCGAUCCUUCAAUUCAGCAAUAAAUGCUACUUUGGGUGCAGGGGAGGGAAUCUUGGAUGGUAAAUGAUUAGAGAAACAAGGUGAGGUGAGCUUUGCGUCGUGCGGAAAAACGUCUUCAGACUCUUCAAAGGUAGUUGGGGGUGUGAUUAAAUGUAGGGGAGUGAAGAAUGGGGCUUGCAUUAAUGGUGUUAAAGAGGUAACAGAGAAUGUUCAAGAGAAGAAUGAUAGGGCUCGCCAUGAGAUGAUUGGGGGGGAGAGUAACGGUUUUGAGCUUAAAGCGGAACAAUUACACAUGGAUUUAGGGUAUAGUAAUCUGCAUGUAGCUAGCCAUGUUAAGGUUGGUGAAGUGCAGGUUCACAAAGAGUAAGGAAUCGCGUGCCAAAAAGUGGUUGGGGGAGAGAACAAGAUAAAUGCUUUUAAUGUGGAGUUCCCAAACAUGAAUUCACUUAGGAGAGAGAUGCAUGUGAUAAGUGCCUAAUUUCAGUAAUAUUUCAUAUUAAAAUAUAGGCACUUAUUAGGAUUUAUUGCUAAUUUACAUAUAAAAUAAUCCUUAAUUUAUGAAUUUAUACCUUUUUACAUUUUUUAUAAGCUUUAUUUGAAUAAGAGCAUUUUAUUCCCAAAUUUGGUGUUAAUUGCAGAUUUCUAGGGAGGAUUGAAGAUUUGGUGUAAAGGAGAAUAAUUUGAGCUAAAAAGAGAAAGUUGGAAGGUCCUAAAAUAGAAAAAGAUGCAAAGAAAGAUUGAGCUUUUUUAUGUUUUAUCAUUUAGCCCAUUAGUGCGACACAAGAAACAACCUAACCCUAAAACUAGGAUAAAUAGAGGGCUAGAGGCUCAAUCCUAGUGUGCCAGAUUGAGAGGAAAACACCAUAGAGUUUAAUUGUAACCCAAUUGGGAGAAUGAAAGGUGCUAGAAGUAUGCGUGGCUAAUUCUACGCUUUGGGAUUGGGAGUAAUCUGCACAAACCUCUUAUAUAUUGAGGUGAUAUCUUAUAUAUUAAUAUUCAGUUCUUGAUUGAUUGUUGGUAUUAUUGUUUUACUUUUAACUUUCCGUGACAAAAUUGAGAAUCUUAAAUCUGACUGGGAGGUAUUUUUAGGGUUUGGACCUAAACAACAAUACUUAACAUAUUUGAGUGUUAGGGAUAGACUUAAAAUGUUAAUUGUCAUUAACGUCUGAGUGUGAUUCUAAGUUGCUUUUAUAUAUAUGCGAGGGAUCGAUAUUUAGAAAACAUUCUUAAGGAUUUUAUAUGCGACGGAUCGAUGUAAAUGAAUUUUCUGCGAGCAUCAAUUUCAAUAAAAGAACUUAAUAUUAACAUGCUAAUCAAAAUACAUGAGAGUGGGAGAGAUGAAACUUAAUCCCUAUUUUUCCAAUUGAAGCAACUAAUUCUUUGUUUGUUUUCUUAUUGAUUAGUGCCAACACAAUUACUUUCAAUACACUUUUAAUUCUUUUGUACUCAAUAAUUCACUAUUCCUUGUGGGAUCGAUAUCUGUCCUUAGGGACAAUUAUUACUUCUGACAAACGCGGUGCACUUGCCGUAAAAAGUCAUCAGCAUGUUGCUCACAUUUAUGGCAAUUCUGGUGCAACAUUCAAUGAAAUGCAUAUGGUGGUUGGGGGAGUAUAUGAAGUUGAUGUAAUAAAUCAGGAGCAUUCAAACAUGAUUCCAUGUAGGAGUGAGAAAUAUGCACCUCACAUUAAUGGAAAUAUUGGUGGAGUAAAUGAAGCUAAUAUAAUAAAUGAGGAGCACUCAAACGUGAUUCCAUGUAGGACUGAAAAUCAUGCAGCUCACAUUAAUGGCAAUAUUAGUCUAGUAGAGAAUCUCCAAGAUAAGCAUGGCAUGGUGCGCCAUAAGGUGGUUGGGGGAGUGAAUGAAGCUAUAUUAAUUAAUGAGGAACACCCAAACGUGAACCCACGUAGGAGUGAGGCGCAUGCAACUCAUUUUUAUAGUUGUAAUGGAGGAGUAGCGAAUUCCAAAGAUGAGCAAGGCUUGGUUUGUCAUAAGGUGGUUGGGGGAGUGAAUAAAGUUAAUAUAUUUAAUGUGGAGCAAUCAAGAGUGCAUGCAGAUAGCCUUAAUGGCUUUAAAGAUGGCUUUGUGAAUCAUAGAAAGGAGUGGCAUGACAAAGAAAUAGUUAGAGAUAGUAAGGUGGGGAGGUGGGUUGAUGAUUGGCGUGCAGGGCUUCCAGAUGAGUAUGAAGUGGGAGGUUCCGUUGGACCAGGACCAGCAGUUGUAGAGGCGGAGCAAUCUGGAGGGGUUGUGGCGGGGGCAGGAGGGGUACAAGAGGAGGUUGUAGGUGAGGGAGCGGUGUCUUCAAUGUUUAAAGAGAACAAUUUGGUUUAUGUGAGGGUGGUUCAGGUACAUUAUCUUGAUUAACAACUGAUGUUGAGGUCAAUCCCUAUUCUUUCGUCAAAUAGUGCAAUCGAGAAUCGUAAUAGAAUCUUCAAGAUGAAAAAUGAGGAGUAUGAGGCAGUCAGAGUUUGGAAGGUAGGGAAGGAUAUGGGUUACACGCAUUCAAGUCAGGAAGAUAUAGUUAUCAGCAGGCUUCAGUCCUAGGAAGCUCGAGUCAGUGGUCAUUUGAGGAAUAAUGAGGGGGAGAUCAGUGUGUUUGUUGAUGAAGAUAAUUAGUAUGAAUAUAAGGGGGAUAAGAGGUUCAAUUAAAAGAAGAUAUCUAAGCACGUUGAUUAACAACGAGUAGGUGGAUAUGGUGUGCAUACAAGAGACGAAGUGUUCAGAGCUUAAUAAGGAGAGUGUUUUUCAAUUGUGGGUUCUAAUGAAAUAGAGUGGGUUGAGAAUGGAGCAAAUAAUAGUGUUGGGGGCUCAUUACGAUGUGGAGAAAAAGUUGUUUUCAGUUGUCCAGUUUCCGUAAUGGUAGAAAUUUUACAAUCAUUGAAGGGCUUUGGAAGGCUGGUGCGGAGGUCUCUGUCACUAUUGUGAAUGUAUAUAGUUUCGACUUGUUAGGGGACAAGAAGGCGGUAUGGGAGGAGAUUAGUAAACCAUAGGUUGGUUCAGUUGUCUGAGGCUUGGUGUGUAGUGGGUGACUUUAACUCUAUAAGAAGUCGGGAAGAGAGGAAAAACUUAAUGUCCGUGUCUGCCUAUAGUAGAGAAAUAGAAGGUUUCAAUGCUUUUAUUGAAGAAACAAAACUGACAGAUAUUUCGUUGAUUGCCAGAAAGUUUACGUGGUAUAAACCAAAUGGUCUAGUGAAGAGCAGGAUCGACAGGGUUCUCGUGUCAAAAGAAUGGGUGGAAGCGUGGCCGCACUGCAAACAGUUUGUAUUAAGCAGAUUGGUCUCUGGUCAUUGUGCAAUUGUCAUUAGAGAUAAGUAUGUUGAUUGGGGCCCGAAACUGUUCAAGAGUCUUAAUGUUUUGCAGAGCGAUAACAGAUUUAAGCUUUUUUUGAAAGAAAAAUGGCUCAAUUACAAGGUGCAAGGUGGAGGAAUAUUUAUCUUUAAAGAAAAACUGAAGAAGCUCAAAGCUGACUUAAAAGUAUGGAAUAAGGAGGUUUUUGGGGAUGUGAAUCAGGGGGUGUAGGAUUGCAAACAAGGCUAAGGGAGCUAGAUGCAAAAGAUGGUGAACUUGAUUUGAAUGAGCAAGAGAGGGAGGAAAGAAGGUCAUUAUUAGAGCUCAAUAAAAAUCUAUUUAAGCAAGAGGCAGUUGCGAAGCAAAAAGCCAGGCAAAAUUGGCUGAAGAAAGGAGAUAUGAAUACAAAGUUCUUCCAUUCGUCAGUUAAAUGGAGGAGGGCUAAAAAUGAGAUUCAUGGGGUGCUCGAGAACGGUCGGUGGUGCGAGGAUAAGGAUGAAGUUAAAGAUAAGGUCAGAGACUUUUUUGAAGCCAGAUUUUACGGGAAUGAAGAGUUGUUGGUUAAGUUAGAUAACGUCCGCUUUAACUCUAUUUCCAGGGAGGAUAAUCAGAUGUUGGUCAGUGUCUUUUCAGAAGAGGAAAUUAAGGAAGUAGUGUGGAGCUGUGAUAGUUCGAAAAGCCCUGGCCUAGAUGGAUUUAAUAUGGGUUUUAUAAAGUUCACCUAGGAUUUCAUUAAAGUGGAUAUAAUGGCGGCGGUGAAGGAUUUUGAAUUCUUUGAAAAAUGGCCUCAGGGUUCAAAUGCAUCGUUUAUAUGUCUGAUUCCAAAGAAUGAAAAUCCUUAACAUCUCGAGGAGUUUAGACCUAUUUCGUUGGUCGGAUGCCUGUACAUAAUUAUCUCAAAGUCAUUGUCAUUACGUAUGAGAAAGGUGAUUAGUAAGGUGAUCGAUGUCAGACAUACUGCUUUUCUUGAGAAGAGGGGUUUGUUGGAUAGUGUGUUAGUUGCCAACGAAGUUUUGGAUGAGAUGAAAAGAAGGAAGAAAAAGUGUGUUUUCUUCAAAGUGGAUUUUGAGAAGGCGUAUGACUCUGUAAGAUGGGAGUUCAUUUAUUAUAUGUUAGAAUAGGGUGGCUUCUACAGUAAAUGGAUUCGCUGGAUAAAGGGAUGUUUAGAGUCAACUUCCGUGUUUGUUCUUGUGAACGAUAGCCCGACUAAGGAGUUCUUACCAAAGAAAGGACUUCGAUAGGGCAACCCACUAACUCCGUUUUUGUUUCUUAUAGCGGCAUAAGGUUUGGUGGGAGUGUUUAGGAUGGCGGUUGAGAAGAAUUUGAUUGAUAGUUUGGAGAUUGGAAGGGAGAAAGUGAAGGUAAACAUGUAGCAGUACGUUGAUGAUACUUUAUUUUUCUGUGAAGCAAAUGUCAAAAGUGUCUUCAAUAUAAAAGGCGAUCCUAAAGAGAAGGGCGUUUUGGGAUGAAGUGAUUGGUUAGAAUGAAGAAAAGAUUAAGCAGGUGGAAAGGCGGAUUCUUGUCUUUGGCAGGUAGGAUUUGUUUGAUAAAGUCAGUAUUGUAUACCAUGAGGGUGGGGAUCGAAUGGAAGAAAGGUCACUUGGGCCUCAUGGGAAAAGGUGUGUGCAACUCGCGAGAACGGGGGUCUUGGGAUUAUUGACUUAAGGACUUUCAAUUUGGCGUUACUUGAUAAAUGGGUAUGGCAGUUGGGGUCGGAUAAUGGGAGUUUGUGGAAGGAGAUUAUUGUUCCAAGUAUGGUGGGUGGAGAAGUCUGAGAGAGGGAGAGAAAGAUAGUAAAGACUCUCUUUGGUGGAAAGAUUUGAGGAGGUCUGGAGCUUAGAGGGUUGGGGCCGAAAUUUCGAAGAAGCCUUAAUCUGUAAGGUGGGAACUGAGAGGGAAGUUUUGUUUUAGGAAGAUAAUUGGGUGGGGAGAGGGCCUUAAAGACGGUUUUCUCGAGGUUGUAUUCCCUGAGUGUGACAAAAGCUUCUGCGAUGGCUGCUUUUGGGGGAUUGAUGACGGAAAGAGGUUAUGGAAUUUUGUCUAGAGAAGAAAGCUAUUUGAAUGGGAGAAGCAAUUAGCAGAACGACUUUUUCAGGAAGUCCAAGGUGUGAAUUUCGACUUGGAUAAGGAGGACAGGUGGAUCUGGAAGGAAGGAGAGGUGUUUGGGUACACGGUUAAAUCGGCAUACCUCCGUCUAAGGGAGGAUGGAGUAAGGGAGAAUGGAAAGGUGUGUAAAAAUUUUUGGAAGAGUAAAAUUGUACCUACUGCUUUGGUUACGACUUUUGGGGUGUUGUUUGGAUCGCAGUAGUCAACGAGGUUUGGAAGCAUAGAAACAUGGUUAUUUUUAACAGGGGAGUAGUGGAUGUUCUGGAAGCUUUUGCUUUGGUUCAAUUAAAGGCUUGGUCAUAGGUUACAUCCAAGUCACAGUUUGCGAAUUUUCCUUUCUGAUUGAUGUAUAGAUUCGUUGGUUUGUAAGAGGAUGAUCUCAUGACGUAUUCAUUCAAGUUGUUUGAUUGUUUCCCAUAAAUGUCUUCCUCUGGGUUAGUUAGGAGAGUUCUGUUUUGUCAGACUUUGGAGUAAGUCUUGUGAUGGAGAUUAUGGGUGAGUUGACUCGCGCUAAUCUAGUUUAUCUCAUCUUGAUAUUUAGUUUAUCUCAUCUUGAUAUUCUUUAUAAAUCUAUUAUAAAAUGAUUAUAUCAAGAUGGUAAUUAAUGACAAAAGUUAAAGAGCGAAAUAUUUUCCAUUAAAGCUGUUUCAAUCUUUAAAAUCUAAUUUUAUAUAUUUCAGCAUUUAUACAGAUUUGGUGCAUUAACAAUAAUUUAAGAUAAGCAACUAAUAACAAUAGAUAAAAUUUAGUUAUUCUAUGAUUGAAAAAUUUAUUAUCACAUGUACUAAUUUUAUUAUUAACGAGUAGGAUGAAAUCAGGAAAGAUAUAUUACCUCUUUAUAUUAUUUAUCUAAAGAAACCUUCUUGAGAUUCUGUUUAAUAAAUUGAUUUAUGUGAAACUAAUUUAUAUAUAAGGUGAUAAUUAAGUUCAAGAGUAGGUUAAUCAUUACUAAAGAUAGUUUAAUUUUGAAAAUACAAUUUUAAAUAUUUAGUUUAUCUCAUCUUGAUAUUAUUUGUAAAUCUAUUCUAAAAUGAUUAUAUCAAGAUGGUAAUUAAUGACAAGAAAUAUUUUCCAUUAAAGGUAAUUCAAUCUAAUUUUAUAUAUUUCAGUGUAUAUAUAGUUUUGGUGCAUUAACAAUAAUUUAAAAAUGUAAGGCUAAUCAUAUCAAACCAGUAAUUAAUAGAAGAAUUAGUAUUGUUGUAAAUCAAGAAUUCACGUUUAUUAGAAGUAAAACAAUAUAUACAAAGGCACAGCAAGGUACCUUUCCUAAACAAAGAAGAAAAACCAAAAAUACAUUGAAAAAAACAGGGACUAGGAUCAUACUUGCAUCUUCUUUUUUAUACAGUUGCUUGAUUCGAUCAAGUGCUUCAUUCUCAGUCUGAGCCAUUUCCUUUCCUUUUGCCUCAUAUAGCUGCACCCAUUUAAAUGACACUUUCUUUUCUUUCAUCCUCUUAAUCACUUCAUUAGUAGAAUUUGUGCCAAACUGCUUUUCAAAAAACUUCUUCCUCAACUUAUCGGUUACAGGGCUGAGAUCUCUUCCCUGCAAAACCACAUCAAGCAUGUUAGAUAAGCACUUCAUACUUGUUAAAAUUUCAUUGACAGUCAACAAGAACAACAAGAAGAAACCAUCUUACCUUUGUGAACUUCUCCACGUUCAUCAAAAUAACCAACAUUUCCAAGGUACCUUACAUUAUCUAUCACUUUCUGAAUGCAAAGAUCAACCAGAGUUGGUAUCUUUGGUGCACAAAAUUCAUCUCUUCUCAUCAUAAUGUCACUGCUCAUCAAGAACAACAAUAGAAUUCGAUUCAAAAUACUAACCAACCAUCAAAUUAAUAAUCAUCUAAAUCUUGAUUUGAUAAUUAAAUAAUCAACUAAAUCUUGAUUUGAUAAUUAAAUAAUCAACUAAAUCUUGAUUUGAUAAUUAAAUGUAGAUUAGAUUCAAUGAUAGAUUUAAAAUUGAUUGAUUGUUGCAAUUUCAAUAUGAAUCUUUAAAUUAUUUAAUUCAAAUUUAAUUUGAUAGAAAAAUAUAAUUGGAUCUCUAGUCUUCAAAACUUUCUUGUGCCGCUUUAACCUUGUCUGGAAACAAAUAGAAAACAAAUCUCAAAAGUUCAAAAUUGAGUCAACUUAACUCGAGGCUUUAAAUGUUUUAGAAGCCAAACUUUCAGUUUGUUCUACACAAACAGAAUUUUGCAAUCCUUUCCUCGCAUAUAUAGGAGGUCCAUGUUACCAUCUUAGUAAACAGCUAUAAAUAGGCACUAUUUCAAAUCUAAAUAAUACACAAUACAUUCAUUUUGAUAUUUUAUAAAGUUUUUUUAUGGUCACGCGUGACUUGUCCUAGGAUUAUUGCAUUAAACAAUCUGGACAAAUAGAAAUCUCAACCAAUUUACUUUUAAAGAAAAUAUUAGUUUUAGUGAACUUAAACAUUAUAAGGAAUGAUGCUUACACUGACCUGCAUAUAUCCAAGAUUUUCCUCCAACCAAUAUUCCUUU